GAGUUGGGGGAGAGGACCAGAACCACCUGCUGGAGAAGGGGAGCUACGGGGGCCGGGCAGGGUCCAAACGCCUCACGUAGGCGGCGGCGCCACGGUCUUCGGGGUCACAGGGAAGAGAAGGGCUCUCCUCAAGCGGGUGGAAGGAGGGAGGCCUCCCGAGGGAGUGAGACUCUAGGCCACUCCCCCGCAGCAAGGCAGGAUCACCUGCGACGCGGAGAGCGGUUAGAGGGCCCUGGAGUGGAAAAGGGCAGUGGGACCUGGUAGCUUGGGUUCCCUGCAACUUGGGGUUCGACCUCCAGGCAAUGAAGUAGGGAUGGUCCUGCAAGUCAAGAUUCCAGUAGCAAGAGUGCAUCAGAUCUCUGUAAGGAAAAUAACUAACAUUGCUCAGUUCCCUGUAGAGUUGCAGGGCGCUUUAACGUUAUCUCCCUUGGUUCUCCAUCAGGUCGUAGUGGACUAAUUUUACAGGCGAAGUUAAGUGACUUACCCAAAACCUCACAGCUAAUAAACGGCAGAGCCGGCACCCAGCUGUACUGGCUUCCAAUUCUGUUAGCUUACCAGCGCAUCACAUUAUCUCCAUAAAUCCCCAUGAUUCAACUAAUAUUAGACGCCCCACAGGUAAGAUGCUUCAGAGUUAGAGGGGAGUUGAAGAUACCUUUGCCUUCAAAGAAGUAAGGAAUAAAACAAAGAUAAAACAGACAAUAAAAGACAAACCAUGAUAGGUGCCACGUGAAAAGUGGCAGAGUACUGCCGGGAAUCAAAGAACCGUGUAUAUCUGUCUUGGGGAUAAGGAAAGAAAGGCAGCAUGAAGGAGUAGGCAUUUGGGAUUGACCUUGAAGGAGACAGGGAGAGUUUUACAGCAAGCAGGGAUAGCAUGAGAAUAUAUAUGAAGGCGAAUCAGUGAAAGUUGUGUUGGGGAAAGAGCAAAGACUCCAGGGUAUGUUGAGAGGUAGAAAAGACAAAGGAGUAUGGGGCCUAAGAUACCAAAUGGAUGAAUUUAUAUUUAAUUCAGUAUUUUGAGUUUUUAUGGUUCAGAAGUUUGGGGGAAGAAAAGGAAGGUUUUUUUUUUUCUUUGUGCUAGUGAUUUAUCUGUGAGGGGAAGCAGAAAUCAGAGGUGGAAAAACGGACAGAUCUACUGUAGGCCAGGUAAAAAUGAUGAGUCUGACCUAAAGGGACAGCUAGGGGAAUUUAAAAGAGCAUAGUUGAGAGAUGAUGUGCAUGCAGUAUCUAUAGAAUUUGGCAACUGAUUGAUUAAUUGUGGGUAGGAAGAGAGAAAUCAAAGAAAGUGGAGGUUUUGAGUUUGUAGAUAAUUGCAAGAGAGAAAAGAGACAAUUACAAAGGAGAGGGAGCUACUUCUUGAGAGAUCAGUUUAGAUUUGGACAUUUUAAGAAUUCAAAGGGUUGUCAAGACAGCCAGAGAGACAUGGACACUAAUAAGUUAGAAAUAAAGGUUUUGUAAUAUGGGAAAGAGGACUGAACUAGAAAAUAGACUCAUAAAUAAUCAGCCUAGGAGUGAUAUUGCUGUGAGAUAAAAGAAGAAAACAAAGGUCAGAAUCUUGGAAAACACCCUCUUUAGAGUCUCGCUACUCAAAACGUGGUCAGUGGCCCAGCAGCACUGACAUGAGGAUGUUAGUUAGAAACUCAGAAUCUCAGGCUCCACCCCAGACCUGCUGAACCAGCAUCUUCAACUUAACAAGAACCCGAAGAGAUUUGUGUCACAUCAAAAAGUUUGAGAAGCUCUGAUCUAGGUGAGCCAAGCCAGCAAAGAAAGGGGAUGGAGCAGAAAAUGGGAGGAGAAUAGGGUAACGCAGAAUCAUCAAGACAAGGUAAAUUGGAGUUUCACAAAAACAGGGCUGGAAGGAGUGUUGCUCAACAAUAUCCAAAACCACAGAGGUUGAAAAGCACAAGGAAAGAAGGUAUGUUUGCACUUUGUGAUUAGGUAGUAGGGUCUUUGAGACCACAUUGUUCUUAUUGAAAGCCUGGGAAGAAAGAUCCCCUUUCUGGUCAAGUUUAGUCUAGGGAUCCAUCCCAUCUUCCCCAGUUCCCACGUGUAUGGGACAUGUCGAGAUAAGUAGAUAGAUUGGACAGUGGGAGAAAGUAGUUCUCUUCCAGUUGCUUCUAUUUUCUCAGCAAAGUGAGGAGCAAGAUCAUUUUGGCAGACUGCUAAUUGUCCAUCACAAUUUAGUCUCCCUUUCUCCCUGAAAACACAGACUGCUUUUCUCAGCCUCUCUUUCAGUUGCAUAUGGUCAAGUAUUAAGUUAUAGAACGUGAGCAGAUGUUAUGUCUGCCACUGUCAGGCCAAGGCGUUUACUUUGAGAGUACUUGUGCCUCUUUCAUGCAUUUUCCUUUCUGCCAGCUGGACCCUGGACACGGUGACUCUGAUUCAAUUAUGCAGAUGACCACAAACCUCUGGGGUUGGCAGAGCCACAAGAAAGAAGGUGCCUGGAUGAAGGAGAGCUACCCACUGACCUGGACACCCAAUUAUAGGAUAGACAGUGAAGUGCAACUACAGCCCGCAAAUGAAAAUGAAUAAUAUUAAUCCAGCCCCUCAAGGCAGGCGAGUAGCUGCUGUCAUCUGUCUUAGAGCUAUUGGAAUCCUGGAUCAUUGUGGGAAAUGAAAGGAACUGGUUUUUAGCAAGGAGACCAAGAAACUCUACUCCCUAGGGGCUAGCAAUGAGAGAAAGGAAGCCUUAAGUCUUUGAGCACAGGGUGACAGUUUGGGUCCUAUGUGAGAUGAUCAAAUCCACAGCAACAGAGGAAAGGACAAAAGGAAAAGAUACUUCGAUGGAAUCAGCAGCCAUUGAUCCAAUGCCAACUCCAAGACUGGAACGUCGCAAUGAUAGUUCCAAGGCGGAAAUUUGACGUAAUUCUUUUCGACACAGUUUUACAGGCAUCUUGCAUGUGAAUAACUCACAACUUUAAUUCAUGGAACAAAUUGAGAAAUAGUCUUUUGGGGGUUUGGUACUCCCUGGAAACAUAAGAGUGCUUUGGGCACCUCUGGUGCCUUUCCAUGCCUGCCUUCUCUGCUGUUCUUGCUACUAGUGAAUUCUAAAUCAUGGCCAAGUGAUGCCAGCACUGGAUAAUAUUGGCUCUGCCCCAUAUCUCGAGGGAAAACUCUAGGACUUGGCAUUAUAUGUGUGGGAAUCUGGCCUUGGUUGGCACUCCCAGCAUGAUAGCGGGGUUCUCCUGUCUGAAUGUACUCUGGGGUGUGCGCCACAAUUUCUGUCAUCGAAAUGGAGAUGAGAGAAUAUGCCCUUGGUGGGGACACCCCACUGGAAUUAGAGUGAAGAGAUCAAAGCUAGAGGUUCUUAAAUCAAAGAAUAUCUAAUAGCAAAGACAAAAACUUGCUUAAGGGAAAUGCAUACAAGUACUAGACCUAAUAUGAUGAAAAAUGCCAACUUCAAUAUAUUGAUGCAUGCUUAGUACACUUUCAGUCCUGCAAAGACAAAGUUUUUUGUUGUUUUUUUUUUGAGACGGAGUCUCGCUCUGUCGCCCAGGUUGGAGUGC
rnacentral:lncRNA from 1 species